rnacentral:lncRNA from 1 species
GAUCCCAGGGAGGAGACAGCGUGGACACAGACGCCCAGCAUUGCCUGAUCCCGGAGAGGAGACAGUGUGGACACAGACGCUCAGCACCUCCUGAUCCUUGAGAGGAGACAGCUUGGACACAGACGCUCAGCACCUCCUGAUCCUGGAGAGGAGACAGCGUGGACACAGAUGCCCAGCAUUGCCUGAUCCACGUGACAUUGGAGGCUGCCGGGGAGAAGCCUCAUGCCUGGGUCCCAGGAAACAGAUCUGAGUCUGGGAGGAGGUGCAGAGGCUCCUUGGAGCAACACCUGCAGGGGUGUGGAAAGUGGGCCUGGGCAGGGGGAGCCACUGGGCUGCAAUGCGGUUGCAGCAGAGGCCUCAGCUGUUUCACUGUUGAGGCCUCACCCACAAAGAAGAGAGACCCUCUGUGGGUGUCCUGAAUGGAAACAUGAGGACCAGUCCUUCCAUGCAGCUGCUCCCAGGAGAAGGCAUUACAUGGGGUGACACGGCAGCCAUUUCCAGAGGGACCCAGCUAUGAGCCGUCGACACCCCUGGCAGCUGGCACAUUUGUUCUCUGCUUUUGUGUAACAAGUCACCUCUGAACUUGGUGGCUAAAAAGGACAACAGUCAUUGAUUAUCUUGGUUUCUCUGGGUCAUGAAUGUGGCAUGACUUGGCUGGGCAGCUGUGGCACAGGCUCACUCAUGAGGCUGCCGUCGAGAUGUCUUUGCUGGAGUCAUCUGAAGUCCUGACCGGGGCUGGUGGCUCGAGGCCUCAGCACUCCCCUGUUGAGCCUCCCCACAGAGCUGCUGGCAUAUGGCACUGGCCUCCCCUGGAGCAGGUGGUCUUGGGGAGUGAGGGCAAGAAGCUAUUGGUGCCCAUGAUGACCUAGCCUCAGCAAACACAUGCGUGGCCCCCCCAUACAGUGGGCAAGGCCCUGAAAGAGGGUGAGGCCAGGAAAGGAGGCCAACACCCUACAGUGUCACCACCACCUGCUUUCAGGGAAGUCACGCUGAAGUGGGGACCCUUGAGGCAAGAGUUCUCUGGGGAAACAGAGGUGGGGAGAAGAUCCUAGGACAUCAGCAACUCAACCCCCAAAGAUCCUCACCCCCAGAAGUCCCCUUCACCAGUUUUGUGCAACUUGACAGCCUGAUUCUUCAGGGUGGAAAGAGCAAUUGAAUUCUGGGCAGCAACCCCAGAGCCCUGUCUUCUGCCUUCACCCAGGAGACGUCGGGUGUGACCACUGAAUCUCAGUCCAGAAUCGAGAUGGGCUGCACCAGCAGCCAGACCCAGACGCGCUGUCCCACAGGGAUGGCCAGGGCCACAGUGUGAUGGUGCAGGGCUCACCAGAAGGCGUCCUCUGUGCACCUCCAUCCCCACAUCCCCACAGACAUGGACCCCCGUCCCCGCGUCCCCACAGAUGUGCACCUCUGUCCUGGGAUCCCCAGAGAUGUGCACCUCCAUCCCCGCGUCCCCACAGACGUGGACCCCCGUCCCCACAUCCCCACAGACGUGCACCCCCAUCCCCACAUCCCCACAGACGUGCACCUCAAUCCCCACAUCCCCACAGAUGUGCAAAUGGCCUUAUUUCUUCAAAGAGAAGGGGACAAAAAUCCUCAAGAAAGUCUUCUUUUCUCUACCCUGCAUCCACCUCCAAAUGACAUACAGAUCGCACGGAGGAGUUGACUCUGGGGUCAGUGAGACCUGUGUGCAGGGCAUGGGAGGGCACCUCAGCCCUCAGCCAUUACCAGGCACCUGGGCUGCCAUGACGUCACAAACUGAGGGCCUUAAAAUGUGGUGUGGAGGCCGGAGCCCAACAUGGGCCCUGUGGGGACAAAGCCAAGGGCUGCAGUGCUGUGCUCUCCUGAGGGUCCUUCCUGCUUCUGCAGCGUCUGCAAGCCAGGCGUGCCCUGACUUGUGGCUGCUUCGCUGUAAUCUCUGCCUCCACGUCUGUGUCCCAGGGCCAUUGCCUCUGUGUGGGCCGAAUCUUCCUCUGCCUCUUCCUUAAAAGGACCCUGCCAUUAUGUUGGGCCCAGCUGGAUCAUCUGGGAAGACCUUGCCUCGUGACCCUCAGCCACCGGCAGUGCUGUGCACAGCAGUGGCAUGGUCAGUUUCUGUGUCUCCACCCAGAUCUCACCUCGAAUUUAAUCCCCAUGAUCCUAACGUGUGGAGUGAGAGCCCAGGGGGCAGUGACUGAAUCACGGGGUGGUUCCUCCAUGCUGUUCUCAUGAUAGUGAGUGAGUUCUUGUGAGAGCUGAUGGUUUUAUAAAAGGCUCUUCCCACCUUUGCUCUGCAUUUCUCCUUCCUGCUGCCUUGUGAAGAAGGUUCUUGCUUCUUUGCCUUCCGCCAUGAUUGUCAGUUUCCUGAGGCCUCCCCAGCCAUGCUGAACUGUGAGUCAAUUAAACCUCUUUCCUUUGUAAAUUA